GUGCUCUCUUCAGCAGCACAUAUACUAAAGUUGCAAUAAUACAGAGAAAAUUAGCAUGAUCCUGUGCAAGGAUGACAAAAAUUCAUGAAGUGUUCCACAUUUUU
ensembl:snRNA U6 U6 spliceosomal RNA